GCAUCGGGAUCGGAGAGCGAGUACGUGGAUUCUGGAGAGUACGUGCAGGACGAUCAGGAGCAGUUCCAAGCUGAAGACAUCACAGGCAAGAUGACCGUGACCUUGAUACUGUAUCUAGCUUUGUUAUGCUUAGAAUCAUGUUUCCUUCGAUAUAUGCUCGCUGCCUACCACUUGAUAAAGUGCCACAUGUCAUUGCCAUGGAACCCAAACACCUUCCCCUCCUAGAUAAUGUUGUUUGGCUAAGUAGGCUUUCUUAGCUUCUAAUGUAUAGCUUUGCUAGUUGUAGGUGCCAGCUGUCUCAUGUGAUAACAUGAGUAAUUUUAUAUCAUUAUGAUUAAACUGCUAUUUAAUUAAUGCACCUAUAUACUUGGUAAAUGACGGAAGGCCUAGCCUUUUGUCGGGCGAUUUGUUCCGUUGUUGUCGCCUUAGUUUCGGCUACCGGUGUUUGAUUCCAUAAUUGAUCGCUCCUAACACGUUCAGGGUUGUUAUGGGGACCCCCUUGAUAAAUCGUGUAGUGUUAAGACUUGUCCGGCAGGACCCAACAUUGGUUUUAAUUUGCUAAUCACCUAAUAAUAAUUUGCAUAGGGAAUAGCUACCCCGAGGAUUUAAUCAACAACCCGGGCCAGUGCUCCUCAUGAGUGUUGGUCCAAACUAGAGCACUGUGCGGGGCCAACUCAGGGAAACUUGAGUGAUUUCUAUCAGGCCAUCGUGCGCGUAGCUCAUCCGUCGUGUCCUGAGACUGAGAUACGCGGCUCUUAUCGGGGUCGUCGACACGAUGGGAGGUCCUGCUAGGUUUGUCUUACCUUAGCGAUAUAUCUAGCGUAUAGGAAUCCCGAUGAAACUUUGGGUCUCCUCAAAGUUGAGGUUUUCCUCUAAGGAAUCCGACGAGAUCACGAGAUUCGUGAUAGAGGAUUACUUUGCGGCCCGUGACCGUUUGUGAUGGACUAGUUGGAGCACCCCUGCAGGGUUUAAUCUUUCGGAAAGUCGUGCCCGCAGUUAUGUGGCAAACAUGGAUAAUUUGUUAACAUAUGGUUCUAGAUAACUUGAAUUAACUCUAAUAAAACUGCCAAUCGUGUGCGUAACCGUGACUGUCUCCUUCGAAGACCUCUCUUCGAUUGAGAACACGGUGGGGUUAUGUUUGACGUAAGUAGGUGUUCAGGAUCACUUAGUAAUCACCUAGUCUUCGACCGCUCGCGUAGACCACCAUAUCAAUAACUCUGAUCUUUGUAAGUUAGCCACCAUAUAUGCUUAGGAUGCUGCAACCUAUACACUAAACCUUCCUUACCUAAUAACUUGACUAGUUUCGGUACCAAGGUCAUCCGAUUGCUGAGUCCCCGUGGCUCACAGUUUACUACAACACCCCAAUAGGUACAGGUACACCCGACGCAGGAGAUCCUGAUGGCACGCAGCUGGCGUGGCAGUACGAUGAGGAGAACGACCGACUGUACGUGAACUAUCCGGAGGACUGAGGCUGUGGUCGUGAUCGUGGCCAGCAUGCGGGAUAUCAUAGUCUUUUCCUUGUUUCAUGUAGUCCGUAGCGGGACUAAGUUGUCUGAAUAAUUGUGUGGAUGUAAACCUUAAAUUAUCUAUGUCAGAUGGCAAAUGUAUGC
rnacentral:lncRNA from 1 species